rnacentral:rRNA from 1 species
AAGAGGAUAACAGAUGGAAACGCCUGCUAAGACUCUAUAUGCCUUUAUGACAAAAGUCAGCAAGGGAAAUAUUUAUAGCUUUGGGAUCGGCCUGUACAGUAUCAGUUAGUUGGUGAGGUAAUGGCUCACCAAGACAAUGACGCUUAACUGGUUUGAGAGGAUGAUCAGUCACACUGGAACUGAGACACGGUCCAGACUCCUACGGGAGGCAGCAGUGGGGAAUAUUGCACAAUGGACGAAAGUCUGAUGCAGCAACGCCGCGUGGAGGAUGACACAUUUCGGUGCGUAAACUCCUUUUAUAUGGGAAGAUAAUGACGGUACCAUAUGAAUAAGCACCGGCUAACUCCGUGCCAGCAGCCGCGGUAAUACGGAGGGUGCAAGCGUUACUCGGAAUCACUGGGCGUAAAGAGCGUGUAGGCGGAUAGGUAAGUCAGAAGUGAAAUCCAAUAGCUCAACUAUUGAACUGCUUUUGAAACUGCUUAUCUAGAAUAUGGGAGAGGUAGAUGGAAUUUCUGGUGUAGGGGUAAAAUCCGUAGAGAUCAGAAGGAAUACCGAUUGCGAAGGCGAUCUACUGGAACAUUAUUGACGCUGAGACGCGAAAGCGUGGGGAGCAAACAGGAUUAGAUACCCUGGUAGUCCACGCCCUAAACGAUGUACACUAGUUGUUGUGAGGCUCGACCUUGCAGUAAUGCAGUUAACACAUUAAGUGUACCGCCUGGGGAGUACGGUCGCAAGAUUAAAACUCAAAGGAAUAGACGGGGACCCGCACAAGCGGUGGAGCAUGUGGUUUAAUUCGACGAUACACGAAGAACCUUACCUGGACUUGACAUAGUAAGAACUUUCUAGAGAUAGAUUGGUGUCUGCUUGCAGAAACUUAUAUACAGGUGCUGCACGGCUGUCGUCAGCUCGUGUCGUGAGAUGUUGGGUUAAGUCCCGCAACGAGCGCAACCCUCGUCAUUAGUUGCUAACAGUUCGGCUGAGAACUCUAAUGAGACUGCCUACGCAAGUAGGAGGAAGGUGAGGACGACGUCAAGUCAUCAUGGCCCUUACGUCCAGGGCUACACACGUGCUACAAUGGGGUAUACAAAGAGCAGCAAUACGGUGACGUGGAGCAAAUCUCAAAAAUAUCUCCCAGUUCGGAUUGUAGUCUGCAACUCGACUACAUGAAGUUGGAAUCGCUAGUAAUCGUAGAUCAGCUAUGCUACGGUGAAUACGUUCCCGGGUCUUGU